UACAAGGAGCUUGCUCCGAACUAUUUAGUGGCGAACGGGUGAGUAUCACGUGAGCAACCUGCCCCGAAGACUGGGAUAACACCGGGAAACCGGUGCUAAUACCGGAUGUCUUUCAAUGAUCGCAUGAUCGAUGAAAGAAAUGUUUUUUCGCUUUGGGAGGGGCUCGCGGUCCAUCAGCUUGUUGGCGGGGUAACGGCCCACCAAGGCUACGACGGAUAGCUGGUCUGAGAGGACGAUCAGCCACACUGGAACUGAGACACGGUCCAGACUCCUACGGGAGGCAGCAGUGGGGAAUCUUGCGCAAUGGACGAAAGUCUGACGCAGCAACGCCGCGUGAGGGACGAAGGCUUUCUGAG
rnacentral:rRNA from 1 species